rnacentral:rRNA from 1 species
GCUACUGCCAUCAGAGUUCGAUUAAGCCAUGUUAGUCGAGGGUGCUUCUUCUUCGGAAGACGUAACCCGGCGGACGGCUCAGUAACACGUGGAUAACUUGCCCUUGGGUCCGGGAUAACCCCUGAGAAAUUGGGGACAAUACCGGAUAGGGCAUCGAUAGCUGGAAUGCGCGAUGUCCAAAAGCUGAGGCGCCCAAGGAUAGGUCUGCGGCCGAUUAGGUUGUUGUUGAUGUAAUGGAUCAACAAGCCUGCAAUCGGUACGGGUUGUGAGAGCAAGAGCCCGGAGAUGGGUUCUGAGAAAAGAACCCAGGUCCUACGGGACGCAUCAGGCGCGAAAACUUUACAAUGUGCGAAAGCACGAUAAGGGAACUCUGAGUGCCUCCUAUGGAGGCUGUUCAGGUGUCUAAAAAGCACUUGAAGUAAGGGCUGGGUAAGACCGGUGCCAGCCGCCGCGGUAACACCGGCAGCCCAAGUGGUAGCCACGAUUAUUGGGUCUAAAGCGUCCGUAGCCGGCCAGGUAAGUUCUUUGGGAAAUUUAACCGCUCAACGGUUAAGCUUUCAGGGAAUACUGCUUGGCUUGGGACCGGGAGAGGUCAGAGGUACUUCAAGGGUAGGGGUGAAAUCCGUUAAUCCUUGAGGGACCACCAGUAGCGAAGGCGUCUGACCAGACCGGGUCCGACGGUGAGGGACGAAGGCUAGGGUCGCGAACCGGAUUAGAUACCCGGGUAGUCCUAGCUGUAAACGAUGCGGGCCAGGUGUUGGCAUUACUGCGAGUGAUGUCAGUGCCGAAGGGAAGCCGGUUAA